CAGCAGCCGCGGGAAUACGAAGGGUGCAAGCGUUACUCGGAAUUACUGGGCGUAAAGCGUGCGUAGGUGGUGGUUUAAGUCCGUUGUGAAAGCCCUGGGCUCAACCUGGGAAUUGCAGUGGAUACUGGAUCACUAGAGUGUGGUAGAGGAUAGUGGAAUUUCCGGUGUAGCAGUGAAAUGCGUAGAGAUCGGAAGGAACAUCUGUGGCGAAGGCGACUAUCUGGGCCAACACUGACACUGAGGCACGAAAGCGUGGGGAGCAAACAGGAUUAGAUACCCGCGUAGUCCCUGUCUCUUAUAC
rnacentral:rRNA from 1 species